GUCUGGAUGGUGCAAUGGUUAAUGCAACUGCCUAGUAAGCAGGAGAUCCUGGGUUCAAAUCCCAGUCCAGCACA